rnacentral:tRNA from 1 species
GCCCCCAUCGUCUAGAGGCCUAGGACGGCAGCCUUUCAAGCUGCAAACAGCGAUUCGAAUUCGCUUGGGGGCA